GAGUUUGAUCCUGGCUCAGAACGAACGCUGGCGGCAGGCUUAACACAUGCAAGUCGAACGCCCCGCAAGGGGAGUGGCAGACGGGUGAGUAACGCGUGGGAAUCUACCGUACCCUACGGAAUAACGCAUGGAAACGUGUGCUAAUACCGUAUACGCCCUACGGGGGAAAGAUUUAUCGGGGUAUGAUGAGCCCGCGUUGGAUUAGCUAGUUGGUGGGGUAAAGGCCUACCAAGGCGACGAUCCAUAGCUGGUCUGAGAGGAUGAUCAGCCACAUUGGGACUGAGACACGGCCCAAACUCCUACGGGAGGCAGCAGUGGGGAAUAUUGGACAAUGGGCGCAAGCCUGAUCCAGCCAUGCCGCGUGAGUGAUGAAGGUCUUAGGAUUGUAAAGCUCUUUCACCGAUGAAGAUAAUGACGGUAGUCGGAGAAGAAGCCCCGGCUAACUUCGUGCCAGCAGCCGCGGUAAUACGAAGGGGGCUAGCGUUGUUCGGAAUUACUGGGCGUAAAGCGCACGUAGGCGGAUAUUUAAGUCAGGGGUGAAAUCCCGCAGCUCAACUGCGGAACUGCCUUUGAUACUGGGUAUCUCGAGUAUGGAAGAGGUGAGUGGAAUUCCGAGUGUAGAGGUGAAAUUCGUAGAUAUUCGGAGGAACACCAGUGGCGAAGGCGGCUCACUGGU
rnacentral:rRNA from 1 species